UACGGGGGGUGCGAGCGUUGUCCGGAAUCACUGGGCGUAAAGGGCGCGUAGGUGGCUUUGUAAGUUUGCGGUGAAAGCCCGGGGCUCAACCCCGGGUCUGCCGUGGAUACUGCAAGGCUUGAAUACUGUAGAGGCAGGUAGAAUAUCGGGUGUAGCGGUGGAAUGCGUAGAGAUCCGAUAGAAGACCGGUGGCGAAGGCGGCCUGCUGGGCAGUAACUGACACUGAGGCGCGACAGCGUGGGGAGCAAACAGG
rnacentral:rRNA from 1 species